GUUUAUGAAAAUAUUAUUUCAAGAUAAACAGAAAGUUUUUGUUUUGCAUGAAUUUUUAGCUAUAUUAAUCAUUUAACAAUUUAAAAAAAAAUUUAAAAAACGAUUUGGAAAAUAAAAUCUGGAACCCACCUGAAAUUUAAAUCUGGUCUGUACAGAAAGUAAUAUGGGACCCACCCGAAAAAAUAAAGGAAAUAGAAAGAAUAAUGGUGGGUCCUGCGAUGUUUAAAAAGAAGAAAAAAAAUAAUUAAAAAAAAGGUAAGAAGGGAAAGGGGAAAGGAGUGGAAAAAUGGUGGGUUAGAAAAAUGGUGGGGUAGUAAGAAUAGAAAUUUUCUAACUAGGGUAUAUAAGAAUACUUUCCCCAUCCGACUCCUCCAUUUUUAUUCUGCAAUCUAAGGAAAUGAAAUCUGCAAAGUCCAUGGAACUAGCUUAGUCUUUAUUUGAGACUGAAGUCUUCACGGCAAGCGUUUUCUCGGCGUAUCAUUGACCAAUUUCUGUUUGAUUCUCUCUAUUUUGUUUCCCGAUGAGCAUUUUAUGUGCUGUGUCAUACACCGAUUUCUCUUCGAUUCUUCCCAGUUUGCUUGCAAAGUUGAUUCCGAGGCAGAGAUGAAGGGCACAGAGGCUAGCCAUCACAAGCUCUCAAACGGAAGCUCUUCGAUCAAUCUGAACAUCACAAGCUCUCCAAUCGAAGGAGACUAUAACUCACACCCAGAAGCUAGGAAGGGAUAUCAAAGGAAGCGAAAGCAGUGGAAGACCUAGCCUUCUUUUUCUUAUUAAGAGAUCCAAGACCAUUCUUCUCCAUCAUAGAUCCUUUAUGUGCCUUUUGAAGAGGUUUUGGUAUAAAUUGUAUCAAUUUGGAGGAUUUCACUUGACGUUUCAAUCAGAAGACGACGGCCCAAGCGCCCAGAGGCCGACGGCUGUAUCUGAAGAUCAGAGCUGCAAGGCAGUGUUAGAGAGGCUUACGAUGUCAGGGGAUCACCGUUCUCGCAUAACAAGAUUGGAAUCUGAACUGGUGAGUGAGAAGUUGAAAGGCUUACCUUAUGGUAUCCAUUUGGUCAAGUAAUACUUUGAGGUCUAAGGGAGGUGAGUUGUCGAACCAUAACUUGUUGGCAAUGCCGGUAAGACUUGAGCAAAAGGACAAUGUUGACGCUCUUGUACAGAAGUUUCUUCGGCAAAUUUUGUGCUGAGGCGUUCCUCGGUAUCAUCGUCGGUCUAGAACAGAGGUGAGUUGAGGAAGACUAGAACUGGGUCGACCGAUCUUCAUCGACAAGGAACCGUAUCAGCCAGCAAUAACUGGAGGUUUAAGCGGAUUAGUGUGAUAUCAGGUUUAUUGCAGAGGCAAACUGAAGAGAAUACGAAAUGAACACAUACAGUUUUGUAAUCAGAUCAGAUUAUAUAUAGAAAAAGAUUUAAAUAUAUGUUAAUAUUUAAUUAUACACUCAAUUUGAGCAUGUUUCAUUUGAAAAAAAUGCUCAUAUUAAAUUGCUUUUAUAAAAUGUAGGAUUAAAGUUUAAAAGUCUU